CCUUCUUGGAUUUUGGCCUAAUUUGAGGCACCGCCGCUUUGAGUUUCUUUGCAUGAUCUGCUGCCUUGCCAUUGGUGGACUCGGCCUCCUCCUAAACGCACAGAACAAGAAGGAUUUUAUUUGAAAAAAAGUUCAAGUUCAGACUCCAGGCGGCUGACGGCUUACUUUUUCAUGGCCUUUGGAGGUGGGCACAAUGAUUGCCAGGAUGCAAAUGAGCUGGAAGAUGGCACCAAGGAAGAGGCCACAGCGCAGCAGGCUCUCGAGAAAUGUUGCUUCGGGAACUUCUGGGGGAGACAAGUCCAUUUCUGCAGACAUCUUUAGGAACCUGAGGAAUACGUGAGAACAACGUCAAGGAUUUCAUAGCAUACAUUUGUGAGGUCAGUUAGACACGUUCACUUUCACACUUAGGCUCGUUUUCUUUGAUGUUGUCCUGCAAAAACGACUUUAGGGCGCUGCCAAUAAUCCCUCCAACGUCGCCAAAAAUCCCUCCAAACGUAUCAAUGAGCCGUAAAAGACAGCACAAUGUAACAAUGUAAGAGGCUACCGAGAAACAACCAGUAAUGUUGAACUGUACAUUGCUGACCUACACAUAUUGCAAUAGAAGCACAAAACCAAAUGCCACAAACUCCAUUUGGAUGCUUACAUAUUAUUGCUAGUUUACGACGCUGCUAACAGUCCCGUGAACGCAACAAACCCGCAGCCGAGAAACCCCAAAUAAGACAUACCAGAAGUGUAAAACCCGUUCUUUGUUUGUUUCAAAUAGAUCGUGGAUGAAAAGCUGGUUCGGUAAAACUCGUACAACUAAAAGCAAUUUCGAGAAACGUUGGCACACGCAUUAUAUGAAAAUAGAACCUUUUACAGGAAGUGGUGUACAGGAAGUGGUGUAGGUCUUCAUAAUGUAUUUCCGGUUUCUAGGUAGCGACCUUGCGGAGUGUCGCCGUCUAGCGGUGACGUGUAAGCAUCACAAACAUUUGUCAUAAAGCAUAAGUUUGCAAAUGUCGAUCAAACACGAAUCUGCUUUCAUGAAUAGCGAUGGAAAUCUGAGAGUAAUUAUUGUUGAGACUGAAAUCACAGAAUUUACAAAGGCUUCUAAUAUUUAUUUGUCCAUUCCAUACCCCCAAACUACUUAUUUACAUUGCAAGAGAUUCAAUCACCCGUUAGGUUAAUGUUAAAAAAAAGAAGAAAAAAAAGAUAUUCGUGAAGUCGGAGGAUAUCAGAGUAGCCAUGGAUGGCACAGCAUCUGCUCGAGCGUGCACCGUUGAGUUGGGUCUAAAGUCAAGCACAUCCACAAAAAAUCUUCACAAUCUGAUCGGGAAAAAAAGCAAAAUAAUGUUAAGGUUGCAAAGAUUUGUUGGAAUAUACAUAGUGUUGAAGGAAUGCAAAUAAUUCACAAUAUCUCACCUUCAGACAAAUCCCUAUUCAGUUUAAGGCCUUCGGAAAGGAACAUGCAGGUGUCAAAUCGUUGCUUCCCGUCCAGCAGUUCAAAGAGUAGCGCACCCAGGUGCCACACUGUGGUCGGACCAGCGCAAUACGGACGCUUGCGGGUAUACUCUGGAGGAGCGUAAUUCAAGGUUCC